rnacentral:rRNA from 1 species
AACGAACGCUGGCGGCAGGCCUAACACAUGCAAGUCGAGCGAAGCCUUCGGGCUUAGCGGCGGACGGGUGAGUAACGCGUGGGAACGUGCCCUUUGGUACGGAAUAGCCCCGGGAAACCGGGAGUAAUACCGUAUGUGGUCGAGAGACGAAAGAUUUAUCGCCAAAGGAUCGGCCCGCGUUGGAUUAGGUAGUUGGUGGGGUAAUGGCCUACCAAGCCGACGUUCCAUAGCUGGUUUGAGAGGAUGAUCAGCCACACUGGGACUGAGACACGGCCCAGACUCCUACGGGAGGCAGCAGUGGGGAAUCUUAGACAAUGGGGGAAACCCUGAUCUAGCCAUGCCGCGUGAUCGGUGAAGGCCUUAGGGUUGUAAAGAUCUUUCAGUGGGGAAGAUAAUGACUGUACCCACAGAAGAAGCCCCGGCUAACUCCGUGCCAGCAGCCGCCGUAACAC